rnacentral:tRNA from 1 species
AAGAAUUUAAGUUAAAUUAAACUAUUAACCUUCAAAGUUAAAUAUAUAUAUAUAAAAAAUAUAAAUCUUA